rnacentral:rRNA from 1 species
AGAUUGAACGCUGGCGGCAUGCCUUACACAUGCAAGUCGAACGGCAGCACGGGAGCAAUCCUGGUGGCGAGUGGCGAACGGGUGAGUAAUAUAUCGGAACGUGCCCAGUCGUGGGGGAUAACGUAGAGAAAUUUACGCUAAUACCGCAUACGAUCCAAGGAUGAAAGCGGGGGACCGUAAGGCCUCGCGCGACUGGAGCGGCUGAUAUCAGAUUAGCUUGUUGGUGAGGUAAAAGCUCACCAAGGCGACGAUCUGUAGCUGGUUUGAGAGAACGACCAGCCACACUGGACUGAGACACGGCCCAGACUCCUACGGGAGGCAGCAGUGGGGAAUUUGGACAAUGGGACGAAAGCCUGAUCCAGCAAUGCCGCGUGCGAAGGAAGAAGGCCUUGGGUUACGUUAAAGUAGUCGUUUUAGGUUACGGGUACGG